rnacentral:rRNA from 1 species
UACGUAGGAUGCAAGCGUUGUCCGGAAUUAUUGGGCGUAAAGAGCGCGCAGGCGGUAUGACAAGUCAGAUGUGAGAGGCCGGCUUAACCGGCAAGGGUCAUUUGAAACUGUCAGACUAGAGUGCAGCAGAGGAUAGUGGAAUUCCCGGUGUAGUGGUGAAAUGCGUAGAUAUCGGGAGGAACACCAGUGGCGAAGGCGACUAUCUGGGCUGCAACUGACGCUGAGGCGCGAAGGCUAGGGUAGCAAACAGG